CGGGGGGUUUGGGGUACAAAAGGGGCUCUGGGCAGGUGACAGGGCCAGCUUGGGGACAAUGGGGGGUCACAGGGGACACAGGGGGCGGGCGCAGGGGGUGACACACCCAGGCACACAGGUGACACACAGAGGGACACAGGACUGCAGGGACACAGCCCGGUUUAUUGCCAUGGUGACACCCCAAAACUCACAGCCUCAGUGUCCCCAGGACUGGUCACUGCGGGGUCACCCCAAUGUCCCCAGGACUGGUCACUGCAGGGUCACCCCAAUGUCCCCAGGACUGGUCAGUGUGGGGUCACCCCAGUGUCCCCAGGACUGGUCACUGUGGGGUCACCCCAAUGUCCCCAGGACUGGUCAGUGUGGGGUCACCCCAGUGUCCCCAGGACUGGUCACUGCAGUGACGUGAUGCUGCAGCUCCCAGGGGUCAGUUGGUCACCACAGGGGUCACUUGGCCAUGGCAGUGUCCCCACGGUGUCCCUGUGGUCACUGUGCCAUGGCAAUCCCUGUUCCACAGCCACGUCCCCACGGUGGUCACUAUGGUCAGUCACUGUGCCAUGGUGGUGUCCUGGUGUCCCCAUGGUGGUCACUAUGGUCACUGUGCCAUGGUGGUGUCCUGGUGUCCCCACGGUGGUCACUGUGCCAUGGUGGUGUCCUGGUGUCCCCACAGUGGUCACUGUGGUCAGUCACUGCUCCAUGGUGGUGUCCUGGUGUCCCCACGGUGGUCACUGUGCCAUGGUGGUGUCCCCACAGUGGUCACUGCUCUGUGGCAAUGUCCCCUCAGUGUCCCAGUGGUCAGUCACCGUGCCAUGGUAGUGCCUCUGCUGGUCACUCUGUUCACUGACCCAUGGCAAUGUCCCCGUGCUGGUCAGCGCUCCAUGGCCGUGUCCUGGGGCGGUCACUGUGGUCACUCAGCGCUCCAUGGCAGCACCCUGGGGUGGUCACUGUGGUCACUCAGCGCUCCAUGGCCGUGUCCUGGCGCAGCCUGGCCCUCACCACGCCGUCCAGCACGGCGUGCAGCCCCCGGCAGGCGGCCUGGGCAGCGUCCAGCACGGGCCGCAGCCGCUCCUGGUGCAGGCGGGCGCUGAGCUGGCACAGGGCCAGCUGCCCGCUGCCCGCCACCGUGGCCACGGCCAGCCUGGGGCCGCCGGCCGCCUCCUCGGCCGCGCUCAGGUCACUCAGGGCCACCGGGGGCCCGGCCGGG
rnacentral:lncRNA from 1 species